rnacentral:snRNA from 1 species
UGCCUUCCCGCGCGCAAA